UACGGAGGGUGCAAGCGUUGUUCGGAAUCACUAGGCGUAAAGGGCGUGUAGGCGGUCCGCUAAGUCUGAUGUGAAAGCCCGGGGCUCACCCCCGGAAGGGCAUUGGAAACUGGCGGGCUCGAGUCUCGGAGAGGAAGGUGGAAUUCCUGGUGUAGCGGUGAAAUGCGUAGAUAUCAGGAGGAAUACCGGUGGCGAAGGCGGCCUUCUGGACGAUGACUGACGCUGAGACGCGAAAGCGUGGGGAGCAAACAGG
rnacentral:rRNA from 1 species